CGAGUGCGUUACGGACGGGCGAAGGUUUCAUCAAUCGCGUUUAUAGAAAACAUAUGCCUGAUCGUGUCGGUCGGUGGGACUUUCGUUCGUUUGGAUCGCAACUCGCAACUC